GCUAGUAAUCGCGGAUCAGCACGCCGCGGUGAAUACGUUCCCGGGCCUUGUACACACCGCCCGUCACACCAUGGAAGUCUGCAAUGCCCGAAGCCGGUGGCCUAACCACUUAUGUGGAAGGAGCCGUCUAAGGCAGGGCAGAUGACUGGGGUGAAGUCGUAACAAGGUACC
rnacentral:rRNA from 1 species